UGCGUAUCAUGCGCUGGGCUAGCAGGAGGUAAGAAGUGCUACACUCUCGGUCCAGAUACAAAAUCAAAGACGGUCUACCCAGAUCAGGCCCCUGUUCAUCUUAACACACCAAUAGAAAGACACAACGCAGAGUUGAAACUUGGACUGGUCACACUAAUAACCAAAUAACUCGUUGUUCAGCUUACACAUCUAAAAACAACAUCAGAAAUGGAUAAUUGAAAUCCUGCCACCUCCCAUUGAUUCCCCCAUUACUCAGCCUUCAGAUAAGGAUCGCAGGUCAGGAUCAGCUCGGAUAAAGACAGAGGACGACAUUAUUCAACAGUGUGAAUAAUUGAGCAGCCUUGCAAUCACUUUCCGGAAAGGAAUGGGAAGAUCACGGCAACGAUCAGGCUUAUCACAUGGCGCCGCGGGUCUGUAACCUCUGACAGAGAUGUCUGCCUUGCUGGUGUGUUGGAGACGGGUGAUAGAGGAAAGGUACAUCGUCCAUCAUCAUGCAGAGAAGUCAGAAGAACCUUCAUAUCAGCGG